rnacentral:rRNA from 1 species
GGAAACGCGGUGGCAGAGGCAGAGGGAAGACAGGUGGUGGAAGGGUGAAUCGGAGUUCAUGGGCGUAAAGCGGGGGUAGGCGGCUAAGUAAGGCAAAUGUGAAAUCCCCGAGCUUAACGUUGGAAGUGCAUUCGAUACUGGUUAGCUAGAGUGUGGGAGAGGAUGGUAGAAUUCCAGGGGGAGCGGUGAAAUGCGUAGAGAUCUGGAGGAAUACCGAUGGCGAAGGCAGCCAUCUGGCCUAACACUGACGCUGAGGUGCGAAAGCAUGGGGAGCAAACAGGAUUAGAUACCCCGGUAGUC